rnacentral:misc_RNA from 1 species
UCCGAUUUGUCACCGGCAGUCUCCCAUGAGUCCCCGACAUAACUCGCUGGCAACAUGGGACAGGGGUUGCGCUCGUUGCGGGACUUAACCCAACAUCUCACGACACGAGCUGACGACAGCCACGCAGCACCUGUGUUGCGGUUCCCUUUCGGGCACCGAGGUAUCUCUACCCCCUUCCGCACAUGUCAAGGGUAGGUAAGGUUUUUCGCGUUGCAUCGAAUUAAUCCACAUAAUCCACCGCUUGUGCGGGUCCCCGUCAAUUCCUUUGAGUUUUAAUCUUGCGAUCGUACUCCCCAGGCGGGAUGCUUAUUGCGUUAGCUGCGCUACCGACAAGUAAACUUGCCGACGGCUAGCAUCCAUCGUUUACGGCGUGGACUAC